rnacentral:rRNA from 1 species
CUUGGUCAUUUAGAGGAAGUAAAAGUCGUAACAAGGUCUCCGUAGGUGAACCUGCGGAGGGAUCAUUACACAAUAAGAAGGCGGGCUGGGCCCUCUCCGGAGGACCAGCCUUGCUGAAUUAUUCACCCGUGUCUUUUGCGUACUUCUUGUUUCCUGGGCGGGCCCGCCCGCCACCAGGACAAACCAUAAACCUUUUGCAAUUGCAAUCAGCGUCAGUAACAAACAUAAUAAUUACAACUUUCAACAACGGAUCUCUUGGUUCUGGCAUCGAUGAAGAACGCAGCGAAAUGCGAUAAGUAGUGUGAAUUGCAGAAUUCAGUGAAUCAUCGAAUCUUUGAACGCACAUUGCGCCCUUUGGUAUUCCAAAGGGCAUGCCUGUUCGAGCGUCAUUUGUACCCUCAAGCUCUGCUUGGUGUUGGGCGUCUUUGUCUUCCCAGAAGACUCGCCUUAAAGUCAUUGGCAGCCGGCCUACUGGUUUCGGAGCGCAGCACAAGUCGCGCUCUCUUCCAGCCAAGGUCAGCGUCCACAAAGCCUUUUUUUCAACUUUUGACCUCGGAUCAGGUAGGGAUACCCGCUGAACUUAAGCAUAUCAAUAAGCGGAGGA